GCGCUCUUAGUUCAGUUCGGUAGAACGUGGGUCUCCAAAACCCGAUGUCGAUGGUUCAAAUCCUAUAGAGCGUG
rnacentral:tRNA from 1 species